UCGAGAAUCUUCCGCAAUGGGCGAAAGCCUGACGGAGCGACGCCGCGUGGAGGAUGAAGGCCUUCGGGUUGUAAACUCCUGUCACGGGUUAUGAAAUGGCGUGGUUCAACAGGCCACGUUUUGACGUAAGCCCGGAAGGAAGCACCGGCUAACUCUGUGCCAGCAGCCGCGGUAAUACAGAGGGUGCGAACGUUGUUCGGAAUUACUGGGCAUAAAGCGCGCGUAGGCGGCUACGUAAGUGUCUUGUGAA
rnacentral:rRNA from 1 species